rnacentral:rRNA from 1 species
AACGAACGCUGGCGGCAGGCUUAACACAUGCAAGUCGAACGCGUGCAGCAAUGCACGAGUGGCGCACGGGUGAGUAACGCGUGGAUAUCUGCCUUUUGGUUCGGAAUAACCCCGGGAAACUGGGGCUAAUACCGGAUGGUUCCUACGGGAUAAAGAUUUAUCGCCAAAAGAUGAGUCCGCGUCCGAUUAGCUAGUUGGUGAGGUAAUGGCUCACCAAGGCGACGAUCGGUAGCUGGUCUGAGAGGACGAUCAGACACACUGGGACUGAGACACGGCCCAGACUCCUACGGGAGGCAGCAGUGGGGAAUAUUGGACAAUGGGGGCAACCAUGAUCGAGCCAGGCCGCGUGAGUGAUGAAGGCCUUCGGGUUGUAAAGCUCUUUUAGCGGGGACGAUGAUGACGGUACCCGCAGAAUAAGCCCCGGCUAACUUCGUG